CGACUGUCAAGCUACGCAUAUAUUGCACCCAAAGAUCACAUCUUCCUUUGCACUGUAUGAGGCUGUAUGCAAAUCUAAGAGACAUGAGACAUGCAGCUGGGAGAGGAUAACCAAAGCCUGGCUACAACUGGGUACCAGAAUGCCUGCCGACCACCUGCUGCCUCACCAUCUAACUCCUUUAGCUCUGCACUUUCUCUGGAAAAGCAGCCCUUCUGCUCUGAGGAAGCAAACAUCAUCGAAGGCAGGAAGACCCUGGCAGCCACUGGCCAGAAGCCUCUCAUUCACUUUAGGAUAAAACAGGGCGCUUCCGUAGGAGAGAUGAACUUCAAGCCUCAAGCACUAACAAGCACUGAGAGAUGGAAAGAGCCAAGAAGGCAAGACUGUGGCUGUGCUAGAUAGCUCUAGGGUCUAGCACAUUAUCAACAGAGCUGUCAACAACUGCCUCGGGGCCCUGCAGAACCACAUCUUCCCUCUGGCCAGGAGGCCUGCAGCUGCCCGCUAGGACUAAGCAGGACACAGGGCAGCCCCCUCUGCAUCUACCCCAAGCUCCACAGAAACCAAGUGCCAACAACAAAGCAACUCACCCAGUCUAACUCACGCCUGCCCUUGCCACUCCCCGCUUUCAUAGAGCGGUGGUCUGGCCCUCCAGGUACUGCCUCGGAUUAAACAGACACAGAAGAGAAGCAACACCCGGCAGGCACAGUGGCCUCUCCUGCCCAAUCCACAGUGACCCCAGUGCAAAUGAUGGGCAGUACCAAAGUGAUGGAAACCACACCCUUUCAUUUAGAACUUUUAUGCAUACACGUAACCUUAGUUUCCAAGUUCACAUAACAAUAAGCAAAAGUGACACACAGUGCAGCCAGACAGUUCACUUAUAACUUAGCUUUUUUUUUUCUUUUUUUGUUUUUGUUUUUUGUUUUUUCCUCCAAAGAUCAGUUCCUUAAAAUGGAUGUUCCUGGGAUACGAGUAAAGAAAAUACGUCUGAAAGGUGAGCUUUCAGAUGGCAGAUUUCUUCAUCCUUCCAAUUUCUGACCCCAUGACGGCAGCAUCACAGCCGGUACUUCCUGCUCACCCUGUUCCUGGAGGGGUGUGCGCACAGGCCCUUCC
rnacentral:lncRNA from 1 species